rnacentral:rRNA from 1 species
CCUACGGGUGGCAGCAGUGGGGAAUAUUGCACAAUGGGCGCAAGCCUGAUGCAGCCAUGCCGCGUGUGUGAAGAAGGCCUUCGGGUUGUAAAGCACUUUCAGCGGGGAGGAAGGCGUUAAGGUUAAUAACCUUGUCGAUUGACGUUACCCGCAGAAGAAGCACCGGCUAACUCCGUGCCAGCAGCCGCGGUAAGACGGAGGGUGCAAGCGUUAAUCGGAAUUACUGGGCGUAAAGCGCAAGCAGGCGGUCUGUCAAGUCGGAUGUGAAAUCCCCGGGCUCAACCUGGGAACUGCAUUCGAAACUGGCAGGCUAGAGUCUUGUAGAGGGGGGUAGAAUUCCAGGUGUAGCGGUGAAAUGCGUAGAGAUCUGGAGGAAUACCGGUGGCGAAGGCGGCCCCCUGGACAAAGACUGACGCUCAGGUGCGAAAGCGUGGGGAGCAAACAGGAUUAGAUACCCGGGUAGUC